rnacentral:rRNA from 1 species
UACGAAGGGGGCUAGCGUUGCUCGGAAUCACUGGGCGUAAAGGGUGCGUAGGCGGGUCUUUAAGUCAGAGGUGAAAUCCUGGAGCUCAACUCCAGAACUGCCUUUGAUACUGAGGAUCUUGAGUUCGGAAGAGGUGAGUGGAACUGCGAGUGUAGAGGUGAAAUUCGUAGAUAUUCGCAAGAACACCAGUGGCGAAGGCGGCUCACUGGUCCGAUACUGACGCUGAGGCACGAAAGCGUGGGGAGCAAACAGGG